UCAUUAUUCUCCACCAGAAGUAAACAUGA
rnacentral:piRNA from 1 species